GUCAUUCAGUAUAUUCAGGUAGUCAGCUCACCUCAUUCUUUGGGCACAUAACGUUGCUGAACCUAGAGACCUGCCCAACUGCAGCAACCCCAGAACAUAGCACUGCCCCCACAGGCUUGUAUGGUAAGCACAUGGGUGCAUAAGUUCACUAACCUCUUUUCUUACCAUGAUGCGCAAAUCACUCUGGAACAGGGACAAUGCAGACUCAUCAGACCACAUGACCAUUUUCCAUUGCUCCAGAGUUCAAUCUUUAUGCUCUUUAGCAAAUUGAAGCUUUUUUUUUCAGUUAGCCUCAAUGAUAAGUGGCUUUCUUAAGGCUACACAGCUGUUUAUUCCCAAUCCCUUAAAUUUAUUUCGCUCUGUGUGUGUGUGUGUGUGUGUGUGUGUGUGUGUGUGUGUGUGUGUGUGUGUGUGUGGAAAUGCUCUUAUUUUCACUUUUAAACAUAGCCAUGAGCUCUACUGUUGUUGUUUUUUUUAACAAUUUGAUCACAAUCAUUCAAUAUUUUUCUUGACUACAUUUUUUCUUUGAAGAUGAUGGUUCCCCCCAAUCCUUCCAGUUUUUAAUAAUGCAUUGGACAGUUCUUAACCCAAUUUUUGUAGUUUCAGCAAUAUCCUUAGAUGUUUGCUUGAUGCAUGCCAUUCAUUUGACUCUUCUGAAACAGAUUAACAUCUUUUCCACGACCACAGGAUUUGUCUUCCUACAUGGUUGUUUAAGAAAUGAGAAGCUAUUCACUAUUCAGUUAGGGUUAAAUAACUGUGGCAGUCUAGGGUGGAAAGUAAAUCUAAUACAGAUCUAUAGAAGAUGACAUUAUAUGGCUUCUCCUAUUUGUGGAUGGCCUGUAUGAUCCCCAUUAGACAUGGAGGUCAUGCCCAGUGCAAUAUUUGUUAUUUAGCAAGAUACAAAAAUAGUCUUAGCUAAUAUAACAUUAUGAUACCCUUUAUAAAGUACGCUUGUGUUACAAAUUUAUUAUCAUUAGCUAAUGGUAGAUUUCAACUCCUAGAAAGGAGUUAAAAUACUGUGAUAUAUCUUUGGAUAACAAAUACUGAUAACAUAAGAAAAGAUUGAUUGAUAUUUGCUUGGUUGUUGUGGUUAGUUGGGCUGUGGUUAGAUUAAUUCAGCUCGAUAAUCUUGUAACUUUACAGUCCAUGCCUAAUAAUAACAGUUUUACAGUUGUGGCCUCACCAUGAUAGGCUGAAUCCACACAGAUAAUAAUAGUCUGUGAAUAGACAGUGGCCAUUGCUUUGGUUAUAUAUGCCUGUGAAAGCAAUACAAUAUUUGUUAUGAUCAUACACGAAGCAUCAGUAGGAAUAGCUCAUGCAGUCGGGCGCCCACUGUACAGUGACGGGGGGGAGACAGAUGGGGAUGUUCCCUACAGGGCUGCACCGGAAAUCAGCUCUUCACUAAAAUCAGCUGUCCGGGGUUUGUCCACAAACCGCUUUCCGGAGCUGUAUUUGUUUUCUCCGAAGAGGACAUUAUGGUGGACAUCUUGAUGCUGAUGUUCUUCGCGAUCAUCGGACUCGUGUUUCUCUCCUACAUCAUCUACAUGCUCUGAUGCACGCGCAGUUGCGUUCAUGGAGCACUGCGAUGAAUCUCCCAGGAGAAGGGUUUUAGGAGGGAACUUCGAUGACAGGGGCCACUGGAGAGAGAAGAAGAAGAAGCUAAUUUUACCAAAAUGCAUCUGGGUCAAGAGGAACACCUUUACGAAAGAUGACAGAUCAGAAAAUUCACACACUUUACUACUAUUGAUGGUCUCUUCAUUGUCAUAAACACCUUCACAAUGGAAGAAAAUCCAGCUGUCCUUUUUUUCUACAGAUUUUACUUUGUAACUUUAUAAAUUUGCACUGUCUGCAAAGAAGCACAUUACUGAGUUGAGAAGUAUUCGUUUGUGGGUUUGCGAGGUAGAUGAGGGAUGAACAAAUGGAAUUAAGAACAAGGCUACAUUUUAUUCACUCCCUUUGAUGACUUCACUAGACAUGCAAUAUGCAUUAUUGUAAACGUUUGUUCUUCCACAGGAUAAUAACUGUGUUAUUUAAAAUAAAGAAACAAUGAAAAAAGAAAAA